UAUUCAUGAAAUCAAUGCUCAUAAUAAAACAUGCUUUUUCAUAUCACAUAUGCCGAUCCUUAUUUUAUAAAAAAUUAUGAUUUCAUCAAUAGCAAUUCUUUACAUAAAAAUAUGAUCAUUUAAAAAUAAAUAAGGAGCAUAAAAUCCACUUACCUCGUUCAUCUUAGAUCUUCAGACUUCGUUAAAAGAAUCAGCUAAUCCUAUUUAAAAUAUCAAAUCAUCAUCAAUUUCUAUUCCAUAAAUACAAUAAGAUUAAAUCAUAAGGAAAGAGG
rnacentral:lncRNA from 1 species